rnacentral:rRNA from 1 species
UGGGGAAUCUUCCGCAAUGGGCGAAAGCCUGACGGAGCAACGCCGCGUGAGUGAAGACGGCCUUCGGGUCGUAAAGCUCUGUUAUAUGGGACGAACGUAUCUAUGGCCAAUACCCAUAGAUAGUGACGGUACCGUAAGAGAAAGCCACGGCUAACUACGUGCCAGCAGCCGCGGUAAUACGUAGGUGGCAAGCGUUGUCCGGAAUUAUUGGGCGUAAAGGGCGCGCAGGCGGCCGGUCAAGUCUGUCUUAAAAGUGCGGGGCUCAACCCCGUGAUGGGACGGAAACUGGCAGGCUGGAGUGUCGGAGAGGAAAGCAGAAUUCCUAGUGUAGCGGUGAAAUGCGUAGAUAUUAGGAGGAAUACCAGUGGCGAAAGCGGCUUUCUGGACGACAACUGACGCUGAGGCGCGAAAGCCAGGGGAGCAAACGGGAUUAGAUACCCCGGUAGUCCUGGCCGUAAACGAUGGGUACUAGGUGUAGGAGGUAUCGACCCCUUCUGUGCCGGAGUUAACGCAAUAAGUAUCCCGCCUGGGGAGUACGGCCGCAAGGCUGA